UGGAAGUAAAAAGUCGUAACAAGGUUUCCGUAGGUGAACCUGCGGAAGGAUCAUUACCGAGUGUAGGGUUCCUAGCGAGCCCAACCUCCCACCCGUGUUUACUGUACCUUAGUUGCUUCGGCGGGCCCGCCAUUCAUGGCCGCCGGGGGCUCUCAGCCCCGGGCCCGCGCCCGCCGGAGACACCACGAACUCUGUCUGAUCUAGUGAAGUCUGAGUUGAUUGUAUCGCAAUCAGUUAAAACUUUCAACAAUGGAUCUCUUGGUUCCGGCAUCGAUGAAGAACGCAGCGAAAUGCGAUAACUAGUGUAAUUGCAGAAUUCCGUGAAUCAUCGAGUCUUUGAACGCACAUUGCGCCCCCUGGUAUUCCGGGGGGCAUGCCUGUCCGAGCGUCAUUGCUGCCAUCAAGCACGGCUUGUGUGUUGGGUCGUCGUCCCCUCUCCGGGGGGGACGGGCCCCAAAGGCAGCGGCGGCACCGCGUCCGAUCCUCGAGCGUAUGGGGCUUUGUCACCCGCUCUGUAGGCCCGGCCGGCGCUUGCCGAACGCAAAUCAAUCUUUUUCCAGGUUGACCUCGGAUC
rnacentral:rRNA from 1 species